UAUCAAAUAUAAUAUAUAAAACGUCAUAUUAAUUUUGCUCUAAAAUUUUACAAGCCUAAUAUUCCACAUCGAUUUAUAUAUAAUUGCAGUGCUGUUAAUAAUUUGUUAACAUUUUUAGAUGUCUGCCUGUUGUAGAUGUAUACUGUGGUUUAUAGUACUACUAUUUUUCAGUUUCCAUAUAUCAGCCAUAUGUUACGGCUUUUAUAUACUUUUUUCACUAUUUGAACCAUGCUGUGAAGGAUGUGAGGACGUAUGCGAGGUAUUCUAUUGCGGCAUAAGAUUUCCCCGUAACUGUGUGGUCAGGAUGAUAGGCAAGGGUAAUCCACCAUUUUUCAGACCGGAAUGAGAGCCAUCUUUAUACAUUAUUAUAUAUCAUCUACUACUACUACUCUUAUACAAAUGCUUUAAUAAACAAUUAUU